CUUGCCAAACAAAAGCUUUCAGCUUUGGCUCUCUACUGAACUGCAUUCACUGAAUGGUUCUAUACCACGAAAGACCAUCGCUCGCUGCAGUUCACUGCAUUUGGACUUUUCCAGGCACAGUGCCAUCAACAACUUCCUUGAGGUUGAAUGGCAUUUUUUCGCUGUUGGAAACAAGAAUAGCCACAACAGAGACAGACCAGUGACAAGGAUGAACCACAGAGGCUCAAGUAAGAAUUUUCAGAUUCAGCAACAUCCAGGAAUCUGCAAAGAGUUGCUCGUGAUGCAGGUAAGAAAAUACUAAUUAACUGCCCUUAUUUUCUUUGUUUUACUGACUUAAUGACUUCGAUGCAAUUUGAUGAAAAGAUUGGCUUGAAAAGAAACUGAAUGAGGAAAUCUCGAGGGGUAGGUAGAACACUCCAGACAAUUAUGUAACAGAGUAAGUUUUGUGAUGUGUCUCUUUGUACCACAAAGCAAAUUAUAUGAUCAGAUGUUGAUCAUUCACAUUCUGUCACUUUCCAGCAUUGAGCAAGUAGACGUGCAGAUCUUUUUGAACGACAGUAUGUAACAGAGCUCUUCACCGAUGUCAGUCAAUGGUUUUCACACAAAUAGGUCAAAAAUUUAAAAAUCUAAAUCUCUGUCUCGGCUGAAAGCAAGCCUAACUAAAAACCCACUGUGUUGUUUUUCCCUUUUUCUCCAUGUUAUUAAAUUUUAUGACUUAGUCAAACAAGAAUUCCUGUAGGCAGACCUAGAAAAUUUCCCACUAGUAUGUUUAAUUUUAGUUUGAAACAUGAAAAUACACAAAUUUAACAAAACUGAGUUUUCAGGAGCUGGCUAAAAAUACCAGUGAACAACAGCAACUGAUGCAAAUUACAAUUUUUAGCACUGAAAUCCUUAUUAUCAAAUCAGGUCUACUGACGUUCCCUCAUUUUUGGAAACAUUUUCCUUUAGUUCAGGUAAAGGAAUUCUUCCUUGUGUUUUUUAAGUGCUCCUGAAUGGCAUUUCUAGAACAAAUGACUGCCCUGUUCUAGUAGCUCAUUCAUUACCGCGGCCACCUGCCUCAGUUUCUUUUUGGAAAGCCUUAUGGGAAUCUUCUUACUAUGAGCAAGGUAUAACCACAACAUAUAUUUAUUACCAUCAGGACCCAAUGAAAGGUCUCACCUAUUUUCCUUUUCAAGAUGAGCACAGAUGGUAUGCCUUAAGUGAAACAAGAGUAUGAAUCUGCCCAGUUGAUAAUUUUCUGUUUGAAAAAAGAAAAAUCUACUAAUGCUUACUGUAAUCCAAGUGAUGCUGCAUUCCUUUAUUCAUAGAGUAGGCAUGACCAUGUUGUUGGUUAUGCAAAGUAUAUUUGCUAACCCUUAAGUUGCAGCAGCCAUUUUGAAUAUUAGAAUUAUGAAUAUGAUUACGGAAGUGGAUAUUGUAUUAAACCCCCCAAAUUGCACACUUGCACUACUCUGGAGAGUCUGCAGGUAUCUGCAGAUAAAUGGUCAUCUGAGACAACAAAGAAUUUGAGAUGGCCUGAAGAAACCUUUAGAUUGACACUCCUUGAGAAGUUGUUCAGAUUACAUGGGACAGUGUACCCAAAGAUGGGAACUUCACUAGUGCUCAGCAUCAGCUUGGUCUGUUCCAAAAUAAUGAUCUUACUCCCUUAAACGCAAGAGCUGUACACUUGUGAAAA
ensembl:lncRNA